GUCUGCUCGUCGUCCCCGUGCUCGGCGCGCUCGGCCCUCCUCCCCCGCCCCAGCUCCGGUCCCUGACGGACCGGGCGGCCGAGCACGUGCAAGGGUGGCCUUCCCGCCCCUGCGCCGGGCUGCCCGGAGCCCGCGACCCCCGCCCGCCGGCCCGGUCAGCUGACCCGGCUCGCCCGCCGCUCCCCGCCCGCCGCCGCGUUUCCGGUCCCCCGGGUCCGGGACUCGCGCUCCGAGAGGAGCGGCGGCGGCCGGGAGGUGAGGCUGGGGGCUGAUUAUCAUGAGAAAGGCUGUGCCCGCCAAAGCCUCCUCCACGCGACUGUCAGCCUCCCUCAGGUGGGGAGGGGGGCGGAAGGGGCCCAGUCGGAGUCACCCGAAAACUUGGAGUAAGUUGGAGGCGACGCAGGCCCGAGGAGGUGGCUUUCGCCUCAACUUGGAAGGCUGGGGCGGUGCCGGUGCGGACGCCAGCAGCCUCGCCUGGGAAUUGAAAACCAAAAAUCUCCCUCCUUCCCCUUCCUCCCUCUUGUCCUGCUUUCAGCCCUCCCUGCCCUUUAUCCGUAUUUUCUUGACAUCCUUUCCCAGUUGCAUUUCCUACAUUUUCUUCUUUCUGUAUCUCUUUUGCAAUCUCUUGUCUUCUUUCUUAACGUCCUCUGCUCUCCUUCGUAGUGAUUCUUUCUGUGGCUCCUUUAUGUGUCCAGAUUUAUCAUUUUGUUUUGAAAACACGAUGUUUAAUAUGCAAUUAAUCUACCAGCAGGAGGGCAAGGACACCCUGACUAAAAUAACUCCCUGGAUCUCUGAGACUCCAAGUUCACCAGGUGUCAGUGAAAAGUCAAAUAGUAAUAAUACAAAUAAAUCAAUAUCUCCGGGAUCGUAAUGGCCUAUUAUUCUAAAUUACUGUAUCAGCUCAGACUGAUAAUUUUUUACAGGUAAUAUUUCUGGGAAAAAUGAAUAAUACUUGGCAUAAGGAGAUACUUUAGAACUAAGGCAAUGUGCACGUUUUUCUUAUUUGUAGUGAUAGACUAAUACUAUUGAGCAAACCUUAGAAAUUAAAACAGGUAAUUUUAAGAAACUCAAUUGUGCUUUUUCUUUUACUGAUUAUUUGGAAAAUGGAAAAAACUGCCAAAGCAUUCCCUCUACCCUUCACGGAAGAUUCAGAUAAAACAUCACAUUGUGCGUUUGUACACUGCUAAGCAAAGUCACACCUUCAGUAGUUGGGUAGUUUGCUUGGCUACCUUACAGUCCUUUACCUAGCAGGUGAUGUGCUGAAACAUCUGCUUUGAAAAAGUAAAGAACAACAACAAUGACGACAAAGAUGAGACUAUUUACAUAGCACAGACACUGCUUCUCUCUCUGGCCUGCAAAUUUGGGAGUAGGGUUGUGUCAGCAGACCCUGGCACAGUCUACUGUGUAUGUGACUUUUCUACCCCAUGCCCUAGAAAGGAGAGAGUCAGGGGAGGACUGGGCUGUGGACACAGGGAGCAUAUUGUUCCAUUGGUUCUGCUACACUGCAAACCAAGCUUCUUUCUCUCUCUCUGGAACUAACUUUGCUACACAUGCAAAAAAAUCUAUUCCUAUUAGGUUUUUCCCUGGCCAUUGUGGCACCAUAAGUAUAGCUCCUGUUGCACAGGGGUAAUUUUCCUGGGUUGGGAGAAGUUGGCUUACCUAUUGUUCUUGGCAUGCACUAGCACCCCUCUAGACAAGAGGGACAGAAGAAAGCUGAAAGUUCACAGAGAAUACUUGGCCAUUUAAAACAAGUAAGAAGAAGUAAAACUCCAUUUAUUUAAUGCAUAAUUUAUUUAUCUGCUAAGUAUUUGGACAUUCAGUGUGCUUUCUGACAUACAUUCUUAUUUACUGUAAAUUUAUAAGAUAUUUAAGAAUUACUUCUAAUAGUUUUUCCAUAGCAAUUCCAUAAAGAUGAUCUAUAUUGAAGUUUUACUUCUACUGGGGAGCAUUCUUGGAUGUGCAGGUUUAGAUGAAAUAUGCUCUGAAGUGUGUUUGAAAUCACAAUGGACUUUGAAUUUGGAACUAUGUACUGUCAUACUUUUAUUAUAUUAAGGCAAAUCAUCAUCACCUGGAAAUAUUUAAAUUAUUGGUUCAUGUAGGAUCUCCAAAUACCAAAUAGUAAUUUAUUUGGGGGAAGUGAUUUAUUACUGACGUAUCUUUCACAAGCCCCUGGAGUACUGCCUAUUAUAUAAUAAAUAUUUGUUGUUGUUUGGGAUCUUUCAUUCAUUAAGAAGCUUUGGAGGGAUAUAAACUGAUGUCCUAUUUCAAAUUUAUAUCUGGAGAUAAGAGUGAGGACUGACAGGGGUAGCUGGCAAAGACUGGGAAUAUAGACCUGAACAACCUCCACUUUACAGAGUUAUUAACUCAGUUACGUUAUUUAACACAAACUUUUUGCUGUCCUUCCUCUGUGUCACUUUUGCGCACAGCCUAAAGAAAAAAACCCACACUGAAGGAGCAAAUGCAGAAUUAUGUGCA
ensembl:lncRNA